rnacentral:rRNA from 1 species
CACGUAGGCGGACUUUUAAGUCGGAGGUGAAAUCCUGGAGCUCAACUCCAGAACUGCCUUCGAUACUGAGAGUCUUCGAGUUCGGGAGAGGUGAGUGGAACUGCGAGUGUAGAGGUGAAAUUCGUAGAUAUUCGCAAGAACACCAGUGGCGAAGGCGGCUCACUGGCCCGAUACUGACGCUGAGGUGCGAAAGCGUGGGAGCAAACA